CACGUAAGGGGCGAGCGUUGUUCGGAUUUACUGGGUGUAAAGGGCGCGUAGGUGGGUUUGUAAGUCAGAGGUGAAAUCCUGCAGCUUAACUGUAGAACUGCCUCUGAUACUGCAAAUCUUGAGUUCAGAAGAGAGAAGCGGAAUUCCAGGUGUAGUAGUGAAAUACGUAGAUAUCUGGAAGAACACCAGUGGCGAAGGCGGCUUCUUGGUCUGUAACUGACACUGAGGCGCGAAUGCGUGGGGAGAAAACAGG
rnacentral:rRNA from 1 species